rnacentral:rRNA from 1 species
GUCGUCAGCUCGUGUCGUGAGAUGUUGGGUUAAGUCCCGCAACGAGCGCAACCCCUAUUGUUAGUUGCCAUCAUUCAGUUGGGCACUCUAGCGAGACUGCCGGUAAUAAACCGGAGGAAGGUGGGGAUGACGUCAAAUCAUCAUGCCCCUUAUGACCUGGGCUACACACGUGCUACAAUGGUUGGUACAACGAGUUGCGAGUCGGUGACGGCGAGCUAAUCUCUUAAAGCCAAUCUCAGUUCGGAUUGUAGGCUGCAACUCGCCUACAUGAAGUCGGAAUCGCUAGUAAUCGCGGAUCAGCACGCCGCGGUGAAUACGUUCCCGGGCCUUGUACACACCGCCCGUCACACCACGAGAGUUUGUAACACCCGAAGUCGGUGAGGUAACCUUUUGGAGCCAGCCGCCUAAGGUGGGACAGAUGAUUGGGGUGAAGUCGUAACAAGGUAACCAAGGGCGAAUUCUG